rnacentral:rRNA from 1 species
UGGGGAAUAUUGCACAAUGGGGGAAACCCUGAUGCAGCGACGCCGCGUGAGUGAAGAAGUAUUUCGGUAUGUAAAGCUCUAUCAGCAGGGAAGAAAAUGACGGUACCUGAGUAAGAAGCCCCGGCUAACUACGUGCCAGCAGCCGCGGUAAUACGUAGGGGGCAAGCGUUAUCCGGAUUUACUGGGUGUAAAGGGAGCGCAGACGGCUCUGCAAGUCUGAGGUGAAAGCCCGCGGCUUAACCGCGGGACUGCUUUGGAAACUGCAAGGCUUGAGUAUCGGAGGGGCAGGCGGAAUUCCUAGUGUAGCGGUGAAAUGCGUAGAUAUUAGGAAGAACACCGGUGGCGAAGGCGGCCUGCUGGACGAAAACUGACGUUGAGGCUCGAAGGCGUGGGGAGCAAACAGGAUUAGAUACCCUGGUAGUCCACGCGGUAAACGAUGAAUACUAGGUGUUGGUGCCCGAAGGGCAUCGGUGCCGUCGCAAACGCAAUAAGUAUUCCACCUGGGGAGUACGUUCGCAAGAAUG